GAGUUUGAUCAUGGCUCAGGACGAACGCUGGCGGCGUGCUUAACACAUGCAAGUCGAGCGGUAAGGCCUUUCGGGGUACACGAGCGGCGAACGGGUGAGUAACACGUGGGUGAUCUGCCCUGCACUUCGGGAUAAGCCUGGGAAACUGGGUCUAAUACCGGAUAUGACCUCCUAUCGCAUGGUGGGUGGUGGAAAGAUUUAUCGGUGCAGGAUGGGCCCGCGGCCUAUCAGCUUGUUGGUGGGGUAAUGGCCUACCAAGGCGACGACGGGUAGCCGACCUGAGAGGGUGACCGGCCACACUGGGACUGAGACACGGCCCAGACUCCUACGGGAGGCAGCAGUGGGGAAUAUUGCACAAUGGGCGAAAGCCUGAUGCAGCGACGCCGCGUGAGGGAUGACGGCCUCGGUU
rnacentral:rRNA from 1 species